rnacentral:rRNA from 1 species
UGGGGAAUUUUGGACAAUGGGGGAAACCCUGAUCCAGCCAUCCCGCGUGUGCGAUGAAGGCCUUCGGGUUGUAAAGCACUUUUGGCAGGAAAGAAACGUCAUGGGUUAAUACCCCGUGAAACUGACGGUACCUGCAGAAUAAGCACCGGCUAACUACGUGCCAGCAGCCGCGGUAAUACGUAGGGUGCAAGCGUUAAUCGGAAUUACUGGGCGUAAAGCGUGCGCAGGCGGUUCGGCAAGAAAGAUGUGAAAUCCCAGAGCUCAACUUUGGAACUGCAUUUUUAACUACCGGGCUAGAGUGUGUCAGAGGGAGGUGGAAUUCCGCGUGUAGCAGUGAAAUGCGUAGUUAUGCGGAGGAACACCGAUGGCGAAGGCAGCCUCCUGGGAUAACACUGACGCUCAUGCACGAAAGCGUGGGGAGCAAACAGG